rnacentral:rRNA from 1 species
CGGGGUGAGUAACACGUAUGCAACCUGCCUGCCACAGCCGGAUAAUCGGGAGAAAUUCCGUCUAAUACGGCAUAAUGCAUCGACGGGACAUCCUGGUUGGUGCCAAAGGGUUGAUUCCGGUGGCGGAUGGGCAUGCGUCGCAUUAGUUAGUUGGCGGUGUAACGGACCACCAAGACGACGAUGCGUAGGGGUUCUGAGAGGAAGGUCCCCCACACUGGUACUGAGACACGGACCAGACUCCUACGGGAGGCAGCAG